GCCACUGUACGUUAAGCAACCACGAACAAUCAAUAAAUCAUUCUUUUUAGCUCACCUGGCCCAAGCGAGCUUUCCUCAUCACUUGGCAUCCGUCGUGGUCGUUAACUUUUACAAAAAUCUUCUCCUGAAACUACUGGGCCAAGUUCAACCAAACUUGGCCACAAUCAUCAUUGGUGUAUCUAGUUUAAAAAAUGUGUGGGAUGACCCCACCUGUGAACCAAAAUGGCAGCCAUGGCUAAAAAAAGAAAAUAG
rnacentral:lncRNA from 1 species